CCCUUAGAUGUCCUGGGCCGCACGCGCGCUACACUGAUGCAUUCAGCGAGUCUACCUUGGCCGAGAGGCCUGGGCAACCUUUUAAACGUGCAUCGUGAUAGGGAUAGAUUAUUGCAAUUAUUAAUCUUGAACGAGGAAUUCCUAGUAAACGCAAAUCAUCAAUUUGCAUUGAUUACGUCCCUGCACUUUGUACACACCGCCCGUCGCACCUACCGAUUGAAUGGUCCGGUGAGGACUCGGGAUUUUUACCAGUUUCCUUCAUUGGGAAUUGGUGAGGAGAACUUGUCCAAACCUUAUCAUUUAGAGGAAGGUGAAGUCGUAACA
rnacentral:rRNA from 1 species